UUUAAAUUUUACGCAUGGCGCCCUUUCGGGUUUUCACCAUGCCCAUUUUUUUGAGCUCUUUUACCCAUAUCUUUAUGGCUAUGUGCACCUUUUAUAUUCUUUUUCUCUUUUUUUUUUUUUAACAGCAUGAUGGUGGUUGCAUAAGGGGAAGUUCCCCUUAUUAUGAUAAUGGUUGUGAAAGCUCCAUAGUGGGUGAUUAGACUCACUUGGGGAGAGUGGGAGUUUUAGGUGAAACUUUGUGGAGGGUAAAAAUGGUUUGGAAUGGUGACCAAGAAGACUCAGAGUCAUUAUAGUGGUAUAACGUAGCUCGAGGUCCCUCGAGCUACUUGAAAUGAUUUAAUGACCCGACUGGGGUUUUUGUAAUGGGUUGAUGGUUUGAUUGAGGAGUGGUAGGAUUUAUGGGGCAUCCAUGCCAAGGGGAAAGCAUGAGUCGUCUUGGGAGUAUGGGAUGGUCCAGUAGAGGUGGCCAUCGGGGGGGUAGAUGGCUCCUAUGGGGAUUGAGGUGGUCAAUUACCCUUGGGGGUAUAUCUGAGGGUUAAUGAUGGGGGUCAACGAUGAACUCACCCAUGAUGAAUCUUUCUAUCUGGGCGACCAUCCAAACGUUUGGGUGGUGCAUGUGACGAGGUCACUGGGGAUGGUAUUGGCUUAGAUGGAGUGCUUACUCCUGGUUUUGAAUGGUGCUCAAAGAGGUAAAAUAGCCACUUGGGGGUCAUGGUUUACCUCGUGGUAGGUCCACCUGAUAUGAAGAUAGCUUCGUGAGAUGGAUGAAGCUCACUGAGGUAUGGUUAAAUUUUAAAACGGGGGUAGUGGUUUACCUCAAGAAAUGAGUGAAACUCCCUAAGGAUGACGGUCUGCGCCUUGAGCCAUAUGAGUGCUCUUUGGAGAUGGUAGUUUGCUCCAUGGGGUGUACAAGACUCUCCCAGGGGUGAGUGGGUCUCAUUGGGGUAUGGGUUUGGUCCAUGGGAUAAGCAAAACUCCCUAGUGAUGGUGGUUUUCCUCAUGGAACGAGCAUGAAAAGGGUUCAUCAGGAUGAUGAGCUUGUACAAUGAAGUGGGUGGAACUCCCUGGGAAAAUGGUUUCUCCCAUAGGGUAUGUGAGGCAAUCCAUAAGGGAUGCUGAAUGAUGGUGUUGGUUUAGAAAUGGCGGUGGUUAUGAAUGGUGACUCAUCAGUGGAACAAGUGUUUGGGUGGAGCGCUCAUUUGUAUUUUUGAAUGAUGCUAGGUGGUGGUGAUAAGGAGGUGGGUUCUCUGAAAUGAAUGAUGCUAGGUGGCGGUGAUAAGGAGGUGGGUUCUCUGAAAUGAAGGCCAUGAUGCACAAAGGCAUAGGUACAGUGGUGGAUGUGAAGCUCAAGGGCGGUUGAUGAAUCACUAGGGAUGAUGAGCGAACCAUCCAAGUAACAUGGUUCGAGCCAUGGGCUCGAUCGUGUGUGCAAGUGAGUGAAAGAAGAGGGAGAAAGAGAUGAAAGCCAGGGGGAAGAAGGUGUGGGCCACCGUUGGACUAUGGGUUUUGUGAAAUAUAAACAAGACAAAGUUGAGGAAAUGUGCAUCGGUGCGCCCAUGGUCAAGCCACGAGUCUUUGGAAUGAGAUGUGAGAGUAUGAAAGUAGUGCCUGGUGUGCACCAUGGUUAAUUCAUAGGCUUUAAAGAGUGUAAGUAUAAGUGUGUGCCCAUCAGUGAGCCAUGGGUUGUAGAUGAGAUGAAAUGAGGUGAGGCAUGCCCAUGGUCAAGCAUGGGUGCGAAGUUUAGUGGUGGGUAGAGAGGUGAAAGAGGUCAAAACGAGAGUGGGUAGUGUGUCCAUGGUCAAGCCAUGGGCAUCAUGUAGGAUAUGAAGGUGGGGAAGCGAUGAGGUAAGAAGAGAGUGUGCCCACGGCUAGCCAUGGCACAAGGUAACGUUAGAGAGUAGGUUAGAUGAGAGAGAGAGGUGAGAAAGCAUCGGGCCAGCGGCUAGGCUGCCUGGCUCAAGAAAGAGAGAGACAUGCGAAAGCAAAGGGAAGAGAGGGAGAGAAAGCAUCAGGCCAGCAGCUAGGCUGCCUGGCCCGAGAGAGAGAUGCGAGAGCUAAGGGAAGAGAGGGGCCGCUUGGCCCGAGUGAAAGAGAGAGAGACGUGAUGAGGGAGAGAGAGAAGAAAAUGGGGUCCGUCCCCCUUUUUGGGCUUUGAAGGGCUGGGCCUUAGGCCUCCUUUCGAGGUGGGUCUAGCCAUUUUUGAUUAGGCCAGACCUUGUCUUCGUAAUGGGCCCGGUCCAAUGCGAUUCCGAGACCAUUUGAUGGGUCUCGGACCAUUAUACCCCUAGGGGAUUUUACCGCUUAAGCAUGGGUGAGGCUAGAGGGUGUCUUUUUGCCCUUGCCAUUGUACACUCUUGCCCCUCAUAUUCUUCCAAAAUGGCCAUUCUUGCAAGAGUGGGCUUCUUUGGGAUUGGGGACAUGUAAGGGCUUAUGGGGUAAAUCCACCAUUUCACCUUAAUAUAAAAAAAAGGAGAGGGGCCUCAUUUCUCACCAUUCCUCCUCAUUUUUGACAUUUUAGAUUGAGAAAGUGGUUAAUGCUCCUCAUGAGAGAAAGGAGAGCUUGGAGCAUUUGGGGCUUUGAAGUGAGGGAAGGCCUCGGAUCUUAGGGGCUCGAAGCAUGGAUCCGAAGACGAGCUUGUCCGGAGCUUCCGAGGGAGGUGAUGUUGAGUUUAAACGGAGAGAGCUACGCGAUGUCACGUUGUCUCUUUUGAAGAAAGAACUUGCUCAACUUCGCGGCUUAAAAUCUGAGUAGGCUAGCAAGGACAAAGUCACUUUGGCUCGCAUUUCUGACUUCACGGCUUGUACUAAGAAUCGCACGGCCGAGCUAAGGCUGUUGAUGGAGAACAUGGCUGCGUCACCUCAACGCCAUGGUGACAAAUGGGCAGAAUUUGCCAAGAGGUGAGGAAUGGGCAGAACUGGCCCAAUGGUAUGAAGAGAACCGGCUCCAGCACAUGAAGUUGAGCAUGCAUGCUUGGUGCCCUUGUGGAUGAGUUGCAGGUAAUCACUGGCCGGCUUAGCCUAGAAGUGGUUAAAGUUGAGGAGCGUAUACAGGCAUGCUGUAAGAAGUCGCAGAUGGCGAUGUUUUGUGAGGCCCUUCGAGAUCUUUGAGGGUGUUUUGGCUUAGUUUCCCUCUUUCUGUGCUAUGUAAGGCCUUGAGCUAUGACAUGUAGUCCUUGGCGUUUGAAGAGGAAUUUGUUUCCUUUCUUUUCUCAUGUAACUUGAGGUUGCAAGCCUGGAACUUGUAACUUCAAAUUUUGUCAUGGGAUUAGUAAUCCUCUUUUGCUUUGCAAUGAGCUUUCUCUUCCUCUCCUUUUUGUAGCUCUAGGCCAUGGGCCAUACCUUGUGAUCUCUUUACUCAUGGAACGAAUGCUCCUUUUUGCCUC